CCAAACCCCAGAAAAGGCCAGUCCCAGGCCUGAGUAAAUGCUCCAGGCUUGUUGGUGAGGAGAAGGGGCCACGGCCCCUGCCAGCUCCAGAACCCACUCCCUCCCUGCACGUAUUAUGUAGCAUCGAGACGUCCAUUGCUCAGGCUCUGCUGUCUGUGAGUCUGGCCUUGCCUUUCCUGAUGAGAAACAAAAGAAGGGGAGUGAGAGAGAAGGGAGAAUAACAGGAUCACAACGAUCUCAUCAGCACAGUUGGAGAGCAACAAAUAUGAAGCCCAGAUCCAGAUCUGCAGGCACAGAAUGUCACCAAGGAAAAGCUGCCUCGCUCCUUCAUGACAACAUUCCCCCAAGAAACCAUUGCUUGGAGAAACUUCAAGUUCUGUGCUGAAGUGCAGUGCAAAGCUAAACAAGACUCUGAAAUGCAAAUGUCUUGUCAGCACAGAGCAGAGCAAGUUUUUAUAAGGUAGAUAAACCUAAGGAGCCCCAGCUCCCAUCUUCCCUGGAGAGAAGGGAUAGAGGACAGGACAGGAGGCAAAGAAUCAGGGGCAGAGUGGACACCUGGCACAGCAUCAGAAGGAAGGAGUAUGGCAUUGUAGUUAAAUCCAUUGCUCUGAUGUCCAGCAAAAUUCAGACUCAGCCACUUACCAAAUGAGGGACUACGGUUACCUGCUACUCACUGGAGUUCAGAGAGAGGCAAUGGUGUGAGGCUGGUCGCGGCCAUCCGGACAGGUGUUCGCCAGCAUCAGCAUCACCUGGAUGCUUGUUACACCUGGACUCCACCCCAGACCUAUGGAACCAGAAUCUCCAGGAAUCUGUAUCUUAACAAACUUUCCAGGUGACUUUUAUGAACCCGGGUUUGAGAAGCAUGACUCCAUGAUCACAGAUAGGCCUGAAGUCAUCCAUAGUGUAGGCAGUGAUAAGAUUGAUGAGAGCACCCCAUCAUGUGCCUGAAAGGGCUUUGCAACACAUCAAACAACGGGCAGUGGUUGGAAUGGGUCAGCCUUGGGAGAUCAGCACUGAAGCUGGAGCCUAGACACCCAUCUGCCAGGUGCAGGGAAGGCAAGACUGUUGGGGUUUUAAAUAGGAUCUCUGGGCUGUGUCCUGAAGGGAAAAUAAUAAUAAUAGCUACCAAGAAUCUUUAUUUAGCAUCAAGAAUCUUCUAAGAAUC